AAGGACCAGGAAAGGAGAGAAUGUUAGCACUCCCCUUGAUAAGGAUGGAAGAGGCCCUUGUGGCCUAUACAACACGAAUAUGGUUAAGGCACUGCCACCUACUUCGUGGCAUCUAACCAUGGUUUUUU
rnacentral:ncRNA from 1 species